rnacentral:rRNA from 1 species
CAAUAGCGUAUAUUAAAGUUGUUGCAGUUAAAAAGCUCGUAGUUGGAUUUCUGGUGGGAGCGAUCGGUCUGGCGCUUAGCGCGAGUACUUGCAUCGUCUCCGGCCAUCCUUGGGGAGAGUCUGUCUGGCAUUAGGUUGUCGGGCAGAGGAUCUUCAUCGUUUACUGUGAAAAAAUUAGAGUGUUCAAAGCAGGCUUAUGCCGUUGAAUAUAUUAGCAUGGAAUAAUACGAUAGGACUUUGGUACUAUUUUGUUGGUUUGCGCACCAAAGUAAUGAUUAAUAGGGACAGUUGGGGGUAUUCGUAUUCCGUUGUCAGAGGUGAAAUUCUUGGAUUUACGGAAGACGAACUACUGCGAAAGCAUUUACCAAGGAUGUUUUCAUUAA